rnacentral:rRNA from 1 species
GGAAUUUAAGCAUAUUAAUAAGCGGAGGAAAAGAAACUAACAAGGAUUCCCCCAGUAACGGCGAGCGAAGUGGGAAUAGCUCAAAUUUGAAAUCUCCGGUGCCUGCACUGGCGAAUUGUAGUCUGUAGGGCCAGUUUCGCCCGAGACGGUGUCCCCAAAGUCGUCCUGGAAAGGCGGGCCAGAGAGGGUGAGAGCCCCGUGCAUGGGGGCACCAUCAGAGGUAAGAUCUGUGCCCAAAGAGUCGGGUUGUUUGGGAUUGCAGCCCAAAAUGGGUGGUAAACUCCAUCUAAAGCUAAAUACCGGCACGAGACCGAUAGUGAACAAGUACCGUGAGGGAAAGAUGAAAAGCACUUUGAAAAGAGAGUCAAACAGUACGUGAAACCGUCAGGAGGGAAACGAACGAGGUUGGUGCAGUGAUCGUGCAGGUUCAAGUGCCACCGAAGGUGCCGGCACGGCGAUGUAGAUCCUCCCGUGCCGUCCACCAGAGGCAGCACCGUACUCCUCGCGAGCACAGACCAGCAGCGGUCGGACAGGAGCCACAAGGCAGCAGUGGAAGGUGAGUCGAUGUCGGCAUGUCCCACAUUGACAGCUUAUAGCCCUGCUGUCUGGUGCCCCAGCCUGACCGAGGAAUCAGGGUAGUCUUUGCCCGUUUUGGUGCACGCCAUAUGGCGGGGCCUCCCGAUGGGAGUGAACCGUGCAGUGUGGACUGCGUGCAGUGUUCACCGCAGCGGCGAUCCCCUGUGGGUGAGUGCCACCUGUGUGCCAGUGCUGCUGGCAUUUAGACGGCCUCGUCCGACCCGUCUUGAAACACGGACCAAGGAGUGCAACAUGUGCGCGAGCCCUUUGGCGAGCAAACCAGAAGGCGCAAUGAAAGUGAAGGCACGGCCGCCGUGCUGAGGUGAGAGCUGUCGAUGGCAGCACAUCAUCGACCGAUCCCAUCCGCACUCCAGUGGUGUGGUAGGAUUCGAGUAAGAGUGUACCUGUUGCGACCCGAAAGAUGGUGAACUAUGCCUGAAUAGGGUGAAGCCAGAGGAAACUCUGGUGGAGGCCCGUAGCGAUUCUGACGUGCAAAUCGAUCGUCAAAUUUGGGUAUAGGGGCGAAAGACUAAUCGAACCAUCUAGUAGCUGGUUCCCUCCGAAGUUUCCCUCAGGAUAGCUGUAGCCCGAAGCAGUUUUAUCAGGUAAAGCGAAUGAUUAGAGGUAUCGGGGAAGAAACUUCCUCGACCUAUUCUCAAACUUUAAAUAGGUAAGAAGUCCAACUUGCUCAAUUUGAAGCUGGACACAGAAUGCUGGGUUACUAGUGGGCCAUUUUUGGUAAGCAGAACUGGCGAUGCGGGAUGAACCGAACGCCGAGUUAAGGUGCCAAAGUCGACGCUCAUCAGAUCCCACAAAAGGUGUUGGUUGAUAUAGACAGCAGGACGGUGGCCAUGGAAGUCGGAAUCCGCUAAGGAGUGUGUAACAACUCACCUGCCGAAUCAACUAGCCCUGAAAAUGGAUGGCGCUUAAGCGUCGCACCUAUACUCGGCCGUCGGAGCAAGAGCGAGGCCCCGACGUGUAGGAGGGCGCGGUGGUGGUGAUGCAGCCCCUGGCGUGAGCCUGGGUCAAACCGCCACCGGUGCAGAUCUUGGUGGUAGUAGCAAAUAUUCAAAUGAGAGCUUUGAAGACUGAAGUGGGGAAAGGUUCCAUGUGAACAGCAGUUGGACAUGGGUUAGUCGGUCCUAAGAGAUAGGGUAACUCCGUUUGAAAAGCGUGCAGUCCUCCGGGUGUGCACCGACCUGUCGAAAGGGAAUCGGGUCAAUAUUCCCGAACCGGAACACGGAUGUGGUGCUCUCAGUACCAAAGCGGCAACGCAAAUGAACUCGGAGACGCCGGCGGGAGCCCCGGGAAGAGUUCUCUUUUCUUCUUAACAUGCUGUCACCCUGAAAUCGGUUUGCCCGGAGAUAGGGUCACAUGCCUGGUAAAGCGCCACACCUCUUGUGGCGUCCGGUGCGCUCUCGACGGCCCGUGAAAAUCCGAGGGAGCAGAUGAUUAUCGUGUCCGGCCGUACUCAUAACCGCAGCAGGUCUCCAAGGUGAACAGCCUCUAGUCGAUAGAACAAUGUAGGUAAGGGAAGUCGGCAAAAUAGAUCCGUAACUUUGGG